CCCAGCGCCCUCCCUCCCUCCCUUCCCCUUCUCUUCUUCGCCUAGGGUUCCCGGCGGGCGGCGGGCGGCGGGCGGCGGCCGCCCCGACUACCUCUCCCCCCACAUCCCCAACGCCGCACUACUACCUCAUCGGGCCGGAUGCCGCUUUCCCCCCGCGCCGCCUGCCACCAACCCCAAACUCCUGCCAGCCACCGGCAGGCCCGCCUCCCAAGCUCCCAUGGGUCAGCUGCUGCUUUACCCCACCUCAUGUGCUCGGCCGGAGGUCGCCGGCUCCGUCUCCCAACCUCCUGCGCGUCGGCCGCCAGCGGCAGGCCCGCCUCCAAGCUCCCGCGGGUCAGCUGCCGCCCUCCCACACGGGCACACCUCAUGUGCGCGACCGGAGGUCACCAGCUCCGUCUCCCAACCUACUGCGCGUCGGCCGCCACCGGCAGAGGAUGUGUUGGUGAAAGAUGAUCACAGCCUGGAGACGAGGUUUGGUGCUCGCAACCUGGUGCAAAAGAUGGGGAGCGACACAGCUUGCAAAGCAAAGGAAUCUUGAAGAGUCACCAAAGAGAGGCAAGGAAACAGAGACGAGGAGAGACACCACUGAUUCCUACUGUUGUCUGUUUGAGGCUAAGCAUCUGCUCUUGAAUUCUCUGUUCUGAAGGUUGUGGCCUCAACAAUGUUCGGUGCAGGCUUGGAGCUCCUACAAGGGUACAUUAACAGAUAAACAACUCUACCAAAUCAAACUAUUCUUCUGUAUGAACCGCUUCAUACAUCACGACGACCUCAAUGAGUGGUUCCUGACGGAGAGUUUCCCAUGGGAUCUUGGAGCCUGAUAGUGAAUUCUGAAAUCAAUUCACUUUGAUAGUUCGAUUUACUACGGUAAUCAAAUCGCGGCUGGGUUGUAUAAUUUGGCCAGAUGAAUCGCUUCUCACUGCUACAAUUUUGAUUCGCCAGAAUAUGAUACAUAACCAUGUCCUGAUGUCCAUAUCGUUGUUGUUUACUUAAUUGAGGCAAACCACAUGGGUGUCUAUUUUAGUAGUGUGCUAUAUCCUGACCACAUGCAUCACGUCGGGCUUCUCCCUUUAUUGUUGCUCUUCCUAGGAUCGUCUCUGAUUAUAAUAUUCUGGGGUUUCUUUUAGCUGUUGCAUUCAUCUAUCGAUCCAAAUUGAAACGUGUGUAUACCAUGAUAGGAGAUCCUCGAUCAUAUACAAUGCAAAUUGACAUACACUAAAAUGUUUAUUUGCUGCAGUAAAUCUUUACUGUGUGAUAAUACAGAAAUGUUGACUACGUUUUGAGGUUAUUUUCUCAUGUUAUGUUGGUGUCACUUUACUUUCCUAGGAAUACUUUGUCCAGAUUAUUUAUAUAUAAAUAUUAUUAGUUCCAUUUUGUGAAUUACCAUGCUAGACUAAUAUUUGCCUUUCCACAACAAAUGGCUAGAGUACCUUGGUGGUUAAUGUACAUGAAGGACUAGGAUAGUAGGCCUGGUUCUAACAAAGGACCAGGUAAGGAAUGGUCAUUUUAUUUCAAAGGAACGUCUAAAUAUUGGUAUUCGGUAAAUAUAUACAUCUUUUCCAUUUCAAGGAUUUUUGCAUGAUUCCUAUCAAAUCAAAUUGUAAUUUUGUUUGUUUAGUUCGAUCGGCUCCAUAUUGUUUCCAUUUAUAUAUUGUCUUGCUGUCUAACUUACCUAUGAGAAGAUUAGCAGGUAGUAACAUCAUGUUGGUCUAAUUUGUAUUGGAUAGUUGCGCUAAGAUGGACUUGUGAUUUUUUUUUUUUACUUUUUGCUAAGUCAGUUCUUUUAGCUUUGUGUAGACUAUUAAGUGAUCAAAUACUAAAUCAGAAUAACCAGAUCUGUAUAACCAAAGAAAUGUUUUAGUUGUGCUUAAAGCAUACAUGAUUUUCUCUACCCUGGACCAUUUAGUCAUGUUUGCACACAUCUUUUGUGACUGCCAUUAUGUCCUAAUAUGUAGGGUUUUAUAUAUUUGCUCCUCAUGGUGAUGGAAAGUUAUGUAUUUUAUUGUUAAAUGGGUAUUUGUAUCACAAAACAAAUUCACUUGGCGGUGUGAAUUCCAUCAACAUGGCGCAUUUAAUAUACCAAUAUGUAAUUUUGUGCAUUUAUUGUUCUCCUUGGAUGGAUGUGAAAUGUGGCUAUUGUCGAUAGAUUUGUUACUCUGCUUGGUUGCUUUUCAGGAUUGAUUUGCUGAUUGUUGCAUAUGCAGAUACUUUGGAUCAUCUAGGUCUUUUUGUUAGGUUUCCACUUUGGUGGGCAGUUUGAUUUGUAUUACCCAAGGAGACCAAGGAAAGAGCGAGAAAGAGAUCCUUCUGAGCCAAGGAGAUGGGAAGUGAGUACAACUGGAGCAAAAAUGAAAUAAAGACAAUGUGGCCUUAGCCUAUAUAUGUUUGUCAUGUACAUGGAGUAACACCGUGUAUUCUAGAAGAAUAAAUGGCUUUUCCCAACUUCUGUGUAGGCCAAAAUUUAUAGGCUUUCUUUAUGAAUUUGGUUGUUUAGUAACAUACAACAACUUU